rnacentral:lncRNA from 1 species
UUCCCAAUCCGGCGGACGAAGUUGGCCAGCCCCACCCCCCAAGGCUAUAGCCCACCCGUUUUUGUAGCCUUUUUCCGCUGGACGAACUUGGCGACCCGGCCUUCGGGCAGUUAUUUUUGGGCGCGGUUUUGCCCGCGGCCUAUUUUUGGCACACGGUAUCGCCUCGCAAAGUCUCGUGCCAUUCCGAGGCCGGCGGACGAAGUUGGCCAGCCCCACCCCCCAAGGCUAUUGCCCACCCGUUUUUGUGGCCUUUUGCCGAUGGACGAACUUGGCGCCCCGGCCUUCGGGCGGAUAUUUUUGGGCGCGGCUGUGCUCGCGACCUAUUUUUGGCAUACGGCGGUGCCUCGUAAAGUUUCACGCCAGUCCGAGUCCGGCGGACGAAGUUGGACAGCCCCACCCCCCAAGGCUAUAGCCCACCCGUUUUUGUGGCCUUUUUCCGCUGGACGAACUUGGCGCCCCGGCCUUCGGACGGUUAUUUUUGGUCGCGGCUGUGCCCGCAGCCUUUUAUUAGCACACGGAGGCGCCUCGCAAAGGCUCGCGCCAUUCCGAGUCCGGCGGACGAAGUUGGCCAGCCCCACCCCCCAAGGCUAUAGCCCACCCGUUUUUGUGGUCUUUUUCCGCUGGACGAACUUGGCGCCCCGGCCAUCGGGCAGUUAUUUUUGGGCGCGGUUGUACCCACGGCCUAUUUUUGGCACACGGAGGCCGCUCGCAAAGUCUCGCGCCAUUUCGAGUCCGGUGGACGAAGUUGGCCUGCCCCACCCCCCAAGGCUAUAGCCCACCCGUUUUUGUGGCCUUUUUCGGCUGGACGAACUUGGCGCCCCGGCCUUCGGGCAGUUAUUUUUGGGAGCGGCUGUGCCCGCGGCCUAUUUUUGGCACAUCGAGGCCGCUCGCAAAGUCUCGCGCCAUUCCGAGUCCGGCGGACGAAGUUUGCCAGCCCCACCCCCCAAGGCUAUAGCCCACCCGUUUUUGUGGCCUUUUUCCGCUGGACGAACUUGGCACCACGGCCCUCGGGCGGUUAUUUUUGGGCGCGGCUGUGCCUGCGGCCUAUUUUUGGCACGCGGAGGCCAAUCGCAAAGUCUCGCGCCAUUCCGAGUCCGGUGGACGAAGUGGGCCAGCCCCACCCCGCAAGGCUAUAGCCCACCCGUUUUUGUGGCCUUUUUCCGCUGGACGAACUGGGCGCCCCGGCCUUCGGGCGGUUAUUUUUGGGUGCGGCUGUGCCCGCGGCCUAUUUUUGGCACACGGAGGCCACUCGGAAUGUCUCGCGCCAUUCCGAGUCCGGCGGACGAUGUGGGCCAGCCCCACCCCCCAAGGCUAUAGCCCACCCGUUUUUGUGGCCUUUUUCCGCCCGACGAACUUGGCGCCCCGGCCUUCGGGCGGUUAUUUUUGGACGCGGCUGUGGCCGCGGCCUAUUUUUGGCACACGGAGGCACCUCGCAAAGUAUCGCGCCAUUCCGAGUCCGGCGGACGAAGUUGGCCAGCCCCACCCCCCAAGGCUAUAGCCCACCCGUUUUUGUAGCCUUUUUCCGCUGGACGAAUUUGGCGCCCCGGCCUUCGGGCAGUUAUUUUUGGGCGCGGUUUUGCCCGCGGCCUAUUUUUGGCACCCGGUAUCACCUCGCAAAGUCUCGUGCCAUUCCGAGUCCGGCGGACGAAGUUGGCCAGCCCCACCCCCCAAGGCUAUUGCCCACCCGUUUUUGUGGCCUUUUGCCGCUGGACGAACUUGGCGCCCCGGCCUUCGGGCGGAUAUUUUUGGGCGCGGCUGUGCUCGCGACCUAUUUUUGGCAUACGGCGGUGCCUCGUAAAGUUUCACGCCAUUCCGAGUCCGGCGGACGAACUUCGCCCACGCCCCCCUCCAAGGCUAUAGCCCACCCGCUUUUUGGCCAUUUUUCCGCUGGGGGGUCUUGGCACCCCGACCUUCGGGGGCAAAUUUUUGGGCGCGGCUGUUCCCGUGGCCUAUUUUUGGCACGCGAGGGCCGUCUGCAAAGUCUUGGGCCAUUCCGAGUCCUGCGGAGGAACUUCGCCCACGCCCCCCACCAAGGCUAUAGCCCACCCGUUUUUUGGCCAUUUUUCCGCUGGGGGGUCUUGGCACCCCGACCUUCGGGGCUAAUUUUUGGGCGCGGCUGUGCCCGUGGCCUAUUUUUGGCAGACGAGGGCCGCCCGCAAAGUCUGGGGCCAUUCCGAGUCCUGCGGACGAACUUCGCCCAUGCCCCCUACCAAGGCUAUAGCCCACCUGUUUUUUGGCCAUUUUUCCGCAGGGGGAUCUUGGCACCCCGACCUUCGGGGGCUAAUUUUUGGCGCGGCUGUGCCCGUGGCCUAUUUUUGGCAGACGAGGGCCGCCCGUAAAGUCUGGGGCCAUUCCGAGCCCUUCGGACGAACUUCGCCCACGCCCCCCACCAAGGCUAUAGCCCACCCGUUUUAUGGCUAUUUUUCCGCUGGGGGAUCUUGGCACCCCGACCUUCGGGGGCUAAUUUUUGGGCGCGGCUGUGCCCGUGGCCUAUUUUUGGCAGAAGAGGGCCGCCCGCAAAGUCUGGGGCCAUUCCGAGUCCUGCGGACGAACUUCGCCCACGCCCCCCACCAAGGCUAUAGCCCACCCGUUUUUUGGCCAUUUUUCCGCUGGGGGGUCUUGGCUCCCCGACCUUCGGGGGCUAAUUUUUGGGCGCGGCUGUGCCCGUGGCCUAUUUUUGGCACACGAGGGCCGCCCAUAAAGUCUGGCGCCAUUCCGAGCCCUUCGGACGAACUUCGCCCACGCCCCCCACCAAGGCUAUAGCCCGCCCGUUUUUUGGCCAUUUUUCCGCUGGGGGGUCUUGGCACCCCGACCUUCGGGGGCUAAUUUUUGGGCGCGGCUGUGCCCGUGGGCUAUUUUUGGCACACGAGGACCGCCCGCAAAGUCUGGGGCCAUUCCGAGUCCGGCGGACGAACUUCGCCCACGCCCCCCACCAAGGCUAUAAACCACCCGUUUUUUGGCCAUUUUUCCGCUGGGGGGUCUUGGCACCCCGACCUUCGGGGGCUAAUUUUUGGGCGCGGCUGUCCCCGUGGCCUAUUUUUGGCAGACGAGGGCCGCCCGCAAAGUCUGGGGCCAUUCCGAGUCCUGCGGACGAUCUUCGCCCACGCCCCCCACCAAGGCUAUAGCCCACCCGUUUUAUGGCUAUUUUUCCGCUGGGGGGUCUUGGCACCCCGGCCUUUGGGGGCUUAUUUUUGGGCGCGGCUGUGCCCGUGGCCUAUUUUUGGCACACGAGGGUCGCCCGCAAAGUCUGGGGCCAUUCCGAGUCCGGCGGACGAACUUCGCCCACGCCCCCCUCCAAGGCUAUAGCCCACCCGUUUUUUGGCCAUUUUUCCGCUGGGGGGUCUUGGCACCCCGACCUUCGGGGGCAAAUUUUUGGGCGCGGCUGUGCCCGUGGCCUAUUUUUGGCACACGAGGGCCGUCUGCAAAGUCUGGGGCCAUUCCGAGUCCUGCGGAUGAACUUCGCCCACGCCCCCCACCAUGGCUAUAGCCCACCCGUUUUUUGGCCAUUUUUCCGCAGGGGGAUCUUGGCACCCCGACCUUCGGGGGUUAAUUUUUGGGCGCGGCUGUGCCCGUGGCCUAUUUUUGGCAGACGAGGGCCGCCCACAAAGUCUGGGGCCAUUCCGAGUCCUGCGGACGAACUUCGCCCACGCCCCCCACCAAGCCUAUAGCCCACCCGUUUUUUGGCCAUUUUUCCGCUGGGGGGUCUUGGCACCCCGACCUUCGGGGGCAAAUUUUUGGGCGCGGCUGUGCCCGUGGCCUAUUUUUGGCACACGAGGGCCGCCCGUAAAGUCUGGGGCCAUUCCGAGCCCUUCGGACGAACUUCGCCCACGCCCCCCACCAAGGCUAUAGCCCACCCGUUUUUUGGCCAUUUUUCCGCUGGGGGGUCUUGGCACCCCGACCUUCGGGGGCUAAUUUUUGGGCGCGGCUUAGCCCGUGGGCUAUUUUUGGCACACGAGAACCGCCCGCAAAGUCUGGGGCCAUUCCGAGUCCGGCGGACGAACUUCGCCCACGCCCCCCACCAAGGCUAUAAACCACCCGUUUUUUGGCCAUUUUUCCGCUGGGGGGCUUGGCACCCCGACCAUCGGGGGCUAAUUUUUGGGCACGGCUGUGCCCGUGGGCUAUUUUUGGCACACGAGGACCGCCCGCAAAGUCUGGGGCCAUUCCGAGUCCGGCGGACGAACUUCGCCCACGCCCCCCACCAAGGCUAUAAACCACCCGUUUUUUGGCCAUUUUUCCGCUGGGGGGUCUUGGCACCCCGACCUUCGGGGGCUAAUUUUUGGGCGCGGCUGUGUCCGUGGCCUAUUUUUGGCAGACGAGGGCCGCCCGCAUAGUCUGGGGCCAUUCCGAGUCCUGCGGACGAUCUUCGCCCACGCCCCCCACCAAGUCUAUAGCCCACCCGUUUUAUGGCUAUUUUUCCGCUGGGGGGUCUUGGCACCCCGACCUUCGGGGGCUAGUUUUUGGGCGCGGCUCUGCCCGUGGCCUAUUUUUGGCACACGAGGGCCGCCCGCAAAGUCUGGGGCCAUUCCGAGUCCGGCGGACGAACUUCGCCCACGCCCCCCUCCAAGGCUAUAGCCCACCCGCUUUUUGGCCAUUUUUCCGCUGGGGGGUCUUGGCACCCCGACCUUCGGGGGCAAAUUUUUGGGCGCGGCUGUUCCCGUGGCCUAUUUUUAGCACGCGAGGGCCGUCUGCAAAGUCUUGGGCCAUUCCGAGUCCUGCGGAGGAACUUCGCCCACGCCCCCCACCAAGGCUAUAGCCCACCCGNN